rnacentral:rRNA from 1 species
AGACUAAGCCAUGCAUGUCUAAGUAUAAACGCUUCUAUACUGUGAAACUGCGAAUGGCUCAUUAAAUCAGUUAUAGUUUAUUUGAUGGUUUCUUACUACUUGGAUAACCGUGGUAAUUCUAGAGCUAAUACAUGCACAAAGUCCCGACUUUAUGGAAGGGAUGUAUUUAUUAGAUCCAAAACCAAUGCGAGUCUUCGGGCUCGGUUCUUGGUGAUUCAUGAUAACUGCUCGAACCGUAUGGCCCUUGCGCCGACGGUGCUUCAUUCAAAUUUCUGCCCUAUCAACUUUCGAUGGUACGGUAGUGGCCUACCAUGGUUGCAACGGGUGACGGAGAAUUAGGGUUCGAUUCCGGAGAGGGAGCCUGAGAAACGGCUACCACAUCCAAGGAAGGCAGCAGGCGCGCAAAUUACCCAAUCCCGACUCGGGGAGGUAGUGACAAUAAAUAACAAUGCCGGGCUAUUGUAGUCUGGCAAUUGGAAUGAGUACAAUCUAAAUCCCUUAACGAGGAACAAUUGGAGGGCAAGUCUGGUGCCAGCAGCCGCGGUAAUUCCAGCUCCAAUAGCGUAUAUUAAAGUUGUUGCAGUUAAAAAGCUCGUAGUUGGAUUUCGGGGUGGCCUGCCUGGUCCACCGCAAGGUGAGUACUGGUCAGCCGCCCUUCCUCUCGAAAGCCCCGACUGCUCUUCACUGUAGUGGUCGGGUAGUUCGGGACGUUUACUUUGAAAAAAUUAGAGUGUUCAAGGCAGGCUAUCGCCUGAAUACAUUAGCAUGGAAUAAUGGAAGAGGACCUCGGUCCUAUUUUGUUGGUUUCUAGGGCCGAAGUAAUGAUUAAGAGGGACAGUUGGGGGCAUUCGUAUUUAAUUGUCAGAGGUGAAAUUCUUGGAUUUAUGAAAGACGAACUAGUGCGAAAGCAUUUGCCAAGGAUGUUUUCAUUAAUCAAGAACGAAAGUUAGGGGU